UUGAGUAUAGGAGGUCCAGCCUGCCCAGUGACUACGGGUUCAACGGCCGCGGUAUUUUGACCGUGCAAAGGUAGCGCAAUCACUUGUCUCUUAAAUAGAGACCUGUAUGAAUGGCUAGACGAGGGCUUAACUGUCUCCCCCUUCCAGUCAGUGAAAUUGAUCUAUCCGUGCAGAAGCGGGUAUAAUUAUACAAGACGAGAAGACCCUUUGGAGCUUAAGGUACAAAGUUCAACCACGUUAAACGACUCCACAGAAAGCAAGAACUUA
rnacentral:rRNA from 1 species